UACGGAGGGGACUAGCGUUGUUCGGAAUUACUGGGCGUAAAGCGCACGUAGGCGGAUUUGUAAGUCAGGGGUGAAAUCCCGGGGCUCAACCUCGGAACUGCCUUUGAUACUGCAAGUCUCGAGUCCGAUAGAGGUGGGUGGAAUUCCUAGUGUAGAGGUGAAAUUCGUAGAUAUUAGGAAGAACACCGGUGGCGAAGGCGGCCCACUGGAUCGGUACUGACGCUGAGGUGCGAAAGCGUGGGGAGCAAACAGG
rnacentral:rRNA from 1 species